ensembl:lncRNA
GGUGGUAUCACCCCCACGGAGAACAGGAGGAAGCUGGGCCCCGGGUCCAGAAACGUGGCCACGUCCCCUGCCUGGGAAGGACUGUCUGGGGAGGGGCCUCUGUGUGCUUCCAGCCUCUUUCCUGCAUCCAGGUUGAGCUGACUGGUCGGGAGGACACAGGGUGUCCUGUCCCAGGAGGAAGUGAAGCAAGCACGUGGUGUUUCUGUAGCACAGCUGUCCUGGGUCCGGGCCAGUGUACCUGCCUUCCCGGAGCCCAGGUCACGUGGCUGUCUGUCGCCACCUGCUGUCCUGUCCCAUGUGGGGAGAGACUGGCAGGGGUCUGUGCCACACUCACGUGCCCACCACCCAGGACCCGAGUCCCUCCCAGCAGGGCCUCUGGUGUGGUUUCUAGUUUCUCUGCAGGCCCUGGCACUGGGUGGUUUUAAGCUGCUGCUCCCAUGUCUCAAAGGUACCUUGCAAUUCACAGAGCCGCCUUCACACCAGCUGCACACAGCCUCCUGUUGGCUUGUUCCUGGGGCUUAAACCUAACUGAGCAGUGUUGUUCUAAGUUGCAGAGAUCAAAGACCUGGACAGCAACCUUUACCCCAUUGGCCAGAGCAACAUCAGCAAGUCAGGCAGGUAUCACAUGGGAAAGGGGGAGAGAGGGAGGGGCUGGGAAGAAGCCCACAGGGUGGGAGAGUGAUUUGCCAAGGGCCUCACGCUCUGUUGGUGGCAGGUCUUCCUUCACAGAUCCAGGGUAGGAUGUGCUGAGCCAAGAAGGACCUGGCUUGUCAGAGCUGAGCUUGUUUUUCUAAGGGGUCAACAGGGAGGGGGCAAUAGCCCAGGGUGGGGCCCUGUAGGUGGGCAGGCCUGAAUGACUCAGACAUGAGGGCUUUCACUUUCCCUUUUGCUUCCUGGUGUAUAUCUGGGCCCAGAGGGUGUGUGCGGUUUAUUGAAGAGAUGCACAGCUGGUGACUGCAUCUGCAGAGCUGAGAACAACUGGAUCUUGUUCACACUCAGGCAGAGGAAGACUCCUGGGGUGAAGCCACACCUCCUUCUAGCCUGACGCAGACAAGGAGCUGAAAGGAGAUCUCUGAGAUCCUGCUACUGCCAUGAACCCAAAAGACCUCCGGGACUGCUCAGGUCUGUGAAGAAAGCUGAGUGCUGAAGAAUUGAUGCUUUUGAAGUAUGGUGUUGGAGAAGACUCUUGGGAGUCCCUUGGACUGCAAGGAGGUCCAGCCAGUCCAUCCUAAAGGAGAUCAGUCCUGGGUGUUCAUUGGAAGGACUGAUGUUAAAGCUGAAACUCCAAUACUUUGGCCACCUCACGCAAAGAGCGGACUCAUUGGAAAAGACCCUGAUGCUGGGAGGGAUUGGGGGCAGAAGGAGAAGGGGAUGACAGAGAACGAGAUGGCUGGAUGGCAUCACCGAGUCAAUGGACAUGAGUUUGAGUGAACUCCGGGAGUUGGCUUUGGACAGGGAGGCCUGGCAGGCUGUGAUUCAUGGGGUCGCAAAGAGUCAGACAUGACUGAGCAACUGACCUGAAUUCAACUGAACUGAACCAGGUCUGAUACCUCAGGCAGGUCCUGGCUCUACUGACCUCAAACACCUCUGCAGAUAACCAAGUUCUCUGUCAUUUCCCGUACCCACCCACACCCCAAUCAAUAAACAAACAGAUUUAGUGCUCUGGGAUCCCUCCAUAUGAGACCUGGGUUCCUUUCACUCUUACUAAAACAGGAAAAAGAAAAAAAAUUAACAACCCUUCAUGCUGCAGGAUAGACAGAGAGAGUAGUGAGCUGGUAUCUCUUCCUCUUCAAAUAAGGGCACAAAUCAUCUUGGAUUUGGGCCCCACACUUAUGACCUCAUUUCACUGUAAUUUCCACCUUAAAGACCUUAUCUUCAAAUAGACUCAUUGAGGUGGGGGUGAGGCUAUGGCUUCAACAUAUGAUUGGGGCGGUUGGACACAGUCCACCCAUAACCCCAGGUGAAUCCAUCACGAGUACCCCCAGGUGACUGCUGCUCAGGAAGAUUAACUUUAACCAGUUUAUGCUCAGUACUAUUUACCAUUUACAUUACACCAUAAUUUCUUCUCAUCCUAGUCUUUUAUCCAGUUAGGGUAAAAGCUUUUUUGAGGAUAUCAUUGAGUAUAUCUAGAAGAGAGUAAGCAACGAAGAGCUGCAAGACCUGCUCACUGAAGUCAAAACCCAGGAGAAUUUUGUGAUUGAGGCCCGUUUGUCCAGGGAAGAAGUGGAGGCAUUGCAUGAAUUUCUGAAUGAGUUGAAGACAGACUUGGCUAUGGAAGACCAAGAGAGAUUCCAACAGGACCUGCUAGACAGGGAGAGGUUUUUAAAGGAGUUUCUUCGGUGAAAAAGGAGCUGGAAGAGAGCAUAAAGCUCUAAGCACUUGCAGACAGGGUUGACAAGUCACACAGGGACUGUACCAUCUUCAAGGUGGUGGCCAGCUCUACCGGCACUGUGUCUGGUGCUCUGAACACCCUUGGCCUGGCUCUGGCACCCCUGACAGCAGGGGCCAGGUGGCGCUCUCGACCAUUGGGUUAGGGCUGGGAGCAGCAGCUGUGGUGACCACUGUGUCCACCAGCAUCGUGGAACACUUUAGUAGGUCAUCAGCAGAAAUGGAAGCCAGUG